rnacentral:rRNA from 1 species
UUCGAUUAUGGCUCAGAUUGAACGCUGGCGGGAUGCUUUACACAUGCAAGUCGAACGGCAGCACGGACUUGAAGUCUGGUGGCGAGUGGCGAACGGGUGAGUAAUGUAUCGGAACGUGCCUAGUAGCGGGGGAUAACUACGCGAAAGCGUAGCUAAUACCGCAUACGCCCUUCGGGGAAAGCGGGGACCUUCGAGCUCGCACUAUUAAGAGCAGCCGAUAUCGGAUUAGCUAGUUGGUGGAGUAACGGCUCACCAAGGCGACGAUCCGUAGCUGGUUUGAGGACGACCAGCCACACUGGGACUGAGACACGGCCCAGACUCCUACGGAGAACGCUUGAUGGGAAUUUUGGACAAUGGAAACCUGAUCCAGCCAUCCCGCGUGCGAUGAAGACUACUGGGUUGUAAGCCGCUUUUGGCAGGAAAGAAACAGCUGCAGGAUAAUACCCCGUGCAACUGACGGUACCUGCAGAAUAAAGCACCGGUAACUACGUGCCAACAGCCGCGGUAAUACGUAGGGUGCAAGCGUUAAUCGGAAUUACUGGGCGUAAAGCGUGCGCGAAACUGGUUGAAGAAAAGAUGUGAAAUCCCAGAGCUUAACUUUGGAACUGCAUUUUUAACUACCGAGCUAGAGUGUGUCAGAGGGGUGGAAUUCCGCGUGUAGCAGUGAAAUGCGUAGAUAUGCGGAGGAACACCGAUGGCGAAGGCAGCCUCCUGGGAUAACACUGACGCUCAUGCUGAAAGCGUGGGGAGCAAACAGGAUUAGAUACCACAGUAGUCGCCUAAACGAUGUCAACUAGCUGUUGGGACUAGGGCCUUGGUAGCGCAGCUAACGCGUGAAGUUGACCGCCUGGGAAGUACGGUCGCAAGAUUAAAACUCAAAGGAAUUGACGGGGACCCGCACAAGCGGUGGAUGAUGUGGAUUAAUUCGAUGCAACGCGAAAAACCUUACCUACCCUUGACGCGUAUCUGGAAUCCCGAAGAGAUUUGGGAGUGCUCGCAAGAGAACCGGAACACAGGUGCUGCAUGGCUGUCGUCAGCUCGUGUCGUGAGAUGUGGGUUAGAAUCCCGCAACGAGCGCAACCCUUGUCAUUAGUUGCUACGAAAGGGCACUCUAAUGAGACUGCCGGUGACAAACCGGAGGAAGGUGGGGAUGACGUCAAGUCCUCAUGGCCUUAUGGGUAGGGCUUCACACGUCAUACAAUGGUCGGGACAGAGGGUCGCCAACCCGCGAGGAGGCAAUCCCAGAAACCCGAUCGUAGUCCGGAUCUACGCAAGUCUGCAACUCGACUGCGUGAAGUCGGAAUCGCUAGUAAUCGCGGAUCAGCAUGUCGCGGUGAAUACGUUCAAGUCUUGUACCACACCGCCCGUCACACCAUGGGAGUGGGUUUUACCAAGAAGUAGUUAGCCUAACCGUAAGGAGGGCGAUUACCACGGUAGGAUUCAUGACUGGGGUGAAGUGUAACAAAGGUAG